rnacentral:rRNA from 1 species
UACGGGGGGGGGAAGCGUUGUUCGGAAUUACUGGGCGUAAAGGGCUCGUAGGCGGCCAACUAAGUCAGACGUGAAAUCCCUCAGCUUAACUGGGGAACUGCGUCUGAUACUGGAUGGCUUGGAUUUGGGAGAGGGAUGCGGAAUUCCAGGUGUAGCGGUGAAAUGCGUAGAUAUCUGGAGGAACACCGGUGGCGAAGGCGGCAUCCUGGACCAACAUUGACGCUGAGGAGCGAAAGCCAGGGGAGCAAACGGG